GGCAGUAAAAGUCGUAACAAGGUUUCCGUAGGUGAACCUGCGGAAGGAUCAUUAUUGAAUGAAACACUUCUGGCUUUAUGCUGUUGUGCUGGCCCUUUGGGCAAUGUGCACACGGCUCUGGUCACUUGUUUCUUCUGUUCCACCUGUGCACUGCCUGUAGACACGCUGUGUCUAUGAUAUUUGUCAACACACAACAAUGUUAGUUGGCAUGUUAUAUAUAAUAAUAAAAUAUACAACUUUCAACAACGGAUCUCUUGGCUCUC
rnacentral:misc_RNA from 1 species